rnacentral:rRNA from 1 species
GGUAGCAUAAUCAUUAGUCUUUUAAUUGGAGACUGGUAUGAAUGGUUAAACGAGAAAUCAACGUUUUUUGCUAUAAAGAUUGAAUUUAAUUUUUUAGUGAAAAAGCUAAAAUUUUUCAGAAAGACGAGAAGACCCUAUAGAGUUUUAUAUCACGAAUAAUUUUCUUUUAGUAGGUUUUUUUGGAUAAAAUUUUUUUGUGAUAUUUUGUUGGGGCGACAUUAAGAUAAGAAAAACUCUUUAUUUUGAAAACUUUACUAAAAGAAUUAACUGAUCCUUUAGAAGAGAUCAUAAGAAAAAAAUUACCUUAGGGAUAACAGCGUAAUCUUUUUUGAGAGUUCUAAUCGACAAAA